UAGGGUUCGAUUCCGGAGAGGGAGCCUGAGAAACGGCUACCACAUCUACGGAAGGCAGCAGGCGCGAAAAUUGCCCAAUCCUGAUUCAGGGAGGCAGUGACAAGAAAUAACAACUCUCAACAUUGUUGAGAAGUGUAAUGAGGAUAAUUUACAAACCUUACCGAAAGCAAUUGGAGGGCAAGUCUGGUGCCAGCAGCCGCGGUAAUUCCAGCUCCAAAAGCGUAUAUUAAAGUUGUUGCAGUUAAAAAGCUCGUAGUUGAAGUUCUGGCUGUAUUGGGCCUCUGCACUUGAUGCGAAGGAACCAGCAGUCAUCCGCUUGCAAAUACAUGUUCUUCCUUAACCGGUAGACUGUAUAAGUAAGCAAUUUACCUUGAGAAAAACAGAGUGUUCCAGGCAGGUUUGUCCGGAAUGCAUUAGCAUGGAAUAAUAGAAUAUGACUAGAGUCGAUUUGUUGGUUAAAGGCUUUAGUAAUGAUUAAUAGGAACAAUCGGGGGCAUUGGUACUCGUCAGUCAGAGGUGAAAUUCUAAGAUUUGACGAAGACUAACUGAUGCGAAAGCGUUUGCCAAGAAUGUUUUCAUUAAUCAAGAACGGAAGUUAGGGGAUCAAAGACGAUUAGAUACCGUCCUAGUCUUAACUAUAAACUAUACCGACUCGGAUUCAGAUGAAUAUUAAAGUUCAUUUGGGACCGUAGGAGAAAUCAAAGUCUUUGGGUUCUGGGGGGAGUAUGGUCGCAAGGCUGAAACUUAAAGGAAUUGACGGUUUUGCACCACCAUGGAGUGGAGCCUGCGGCUUAAUUUGACCCAACACUGGGAAACUCAUCAGGGCAAGAAGAUUUUAGGAUUGACAGAUUGAGAGUUCUUUCUUGAUUGGUCUAGUGGUGGUGCAUGGCCGUUCUUAGUUGGUGGAGUGAUUUGUCUGGUUAAUUCCGUUAACGAACGAGACCUUAACCUGCUAACUAGUACACUGAUUUCCAAUCGGUGCUACUUCUUAGAGGGACUAUGUGAUGUAAUCACAUGGAAGUUUGAGGCAAUAACAGGUCUGUGAUGCCCUUAGAUGUCCUGAGCUGCACGCGCGCUACAAUGACACAUUCAACGAGUAUUUCCUGACCCGAAAGGGCUCGGGUAAUCUUUUUAGUGUGUGUCGUGAUAGGGAUUGAUCUUUGUAAUUAUGGAUCAUGAACGAGGAAUUCCUAGUAAGCGCACGUCAUCAGCGUGUGCUGAUUACGUCCCUGCAAAAUGUACACACCGCCCGUCGCUAUUACCGAUUGGGUGUAUAGGUGAACCUUCCUGAUAGUCGCAAGAUUAGAAGUUAAGUAAACCUUUACACCUAGAGGAAAUAAAAGUCGUAACAAGGUU
rnacentral:rRNA from 1 species